rnacentral:lncRNA from 1 species
CUUUAUAAUUCUUAGCAUAUCCUCUGGAAAGCAGCCAGGACUAGAAUGUUCCGAAGUCCAGUUAUACAAGAUGCAAGAUGCCUGUUUGUUUGAUGGAUAACCUAUCCAGGAACAUUGAAGAUCCUGUGUGAUCAAUGAAAAUCUUUGGUGGUGUGUGACAUUCCCCAGUGUGCUGGAGGAAGGGAGAAGAAAGUCAAAUUUCAAGAAACAGAGGGCACGUUGCAUCCUGAGGUGAAUUAGAAAUUGCCAACGGUAAUGACGGAUGUGAAAAUGCUUCUGAGGAGGGAAACAGCAGGCUCCUAAGGCAGCACCAGU